CAUUCGAGUAAGCUUAAUUAUGACUAUUGGUUUAGAAUUGAUACUCGUGUAAUUUUUUAUUACAUCUAAAUUAAGAGUAGUAAAUGAACACACCAAAACAGAUUAUGAGAAAAUAUAUGGCAUUUAUCAUGGUCGUAUGGGUGAUGGGAAUCAGGUUUUGAUUCAGAAAAAGGAGUCUAAGAAUAGUUUAUCACAUCCAAGGGAGGCAGCAGGUGUGUAAAUUACCCACUCUCAGAAUGGGGAGUUAGUGACAAAAAAAUUACAAUACAAGGACACUUUUGAGACCCCAUAAUUGAAAUGAGUACACUCUAAAUUCUCUAACGAGGAUCAAUUGGAUGGCCAGCAGCCGCGGGAAAACAAGCAA
rnacentral:ncRNA from 1 species